GGCACUUGUGUUUGGUUUCGUCUAAAUUGUGGACUAAACUUAAUCAACAGGUGCAAAAAAUAAAUCCUCUUUUGCAACCCAGAACUCAUUGUUUGGUGUGAGUUUUAAUACCUAUAAGAAGGAAUAUU
ensembl:snoRNA